AAAAAAAUAAUAUAAAAUUAUGAGGAAGAAAAAAGAGUUAACAAAAACUGAUCAAAGAAAGUAGAAAUAACAACAAAAUAACAAAUGCAAAUAGAAGAAAUGAGAUUCCAAAUAUUGAACAAAGUCAGAGAAAUAUUAUACUAGGAAAAAACAAAAAUUAGAUAAAGACAAAUUGAAAUACUUUACAAAGGAAGAAAUAUUAAAAAAAAAGGAAAUAUCAAUGAUAUACUGAACAAGGAGAACUGAAGCUAGAAAUUUAAAACAGGAUCACAAAUUUAGUGAAUAUAUGGAAGUAACAAGCACAAUAUCAUUCAAUACCAAAACAAAAAGACAGAAGAAAAAAGGUAAAACUAUCCAAAACAGGAAAGAAUACUAAAACAGAAAACAGAAAAAAAUAGAAUAAUGAACAAAAAAAUAUAGAAGCAG
rnacentral:lncRNA from 1 species